rnacentral:rRNA from 1 species
GACGAACGCUGGCGGCGUGCUUAACACAUGCAAGUCGAACGGAAAGGCCCUGCUUUUGUGGGCUGCUCGAGUUGCGAACGGGUGAGUAACACGUGAGUAACCUGCCCUUGACUUUGGGAUAACUUCAUGAAACUUGGGCUAUUACCGGAUAGGAUCUCCUGCUUCAUGGUGGGCGUUGGAUAGUUUCGGCGGUUGGGGAUGGACUCGCGGCUUAUCAGCUUGUUGGUGGGGUAGUGGCUUACCAAGGCUUUGACGGGUAGCCGGCCUGCGAGGGGGACCGGCCACAUUGGGACUGAGAUGAGGCACAGACUCCUACGGGACGCAGGAGUGGGGAGUAGUACAUAAUAGGCGGAAGCCAGAUGCAGCAACGCCGCGUGCGGGAUGACGGCCUGCGGGUUGUAAACCGAUGUCGCCUGUGACGAAGCGAGAGUGACGGUAAUGGGUAAAGAAGCACCGGCUAACUACGUG